rnacentral:rRNA from 1 species
UAGGUCCCAAGGGUAUGGCUGUUCGCAUUAGUGGUACGCGAGCUGGGUUUAGAACGUCGUGAGACAGUUCGGUCCCUAUCUGCCGUGGGCGCUGGAGAAUUGAGGGGGGCUGCUCCUAGUACGAGAGGACCGGAGUGGACGCAUCACUGGUGUUCGGGUUGUCAUGCCAAUGGCACUGCCCGGUAGCUAAAUGCGGAAGAGAUAAGUGCUGAAAGCAUCUAAGCACGAAACUUGCCCCGAGAUGAGUUCUCCCUGAGACUUUAAGUCUCCUGAAGGAACGUUAAAGACGAUGACGUUGAUAGGCCGGGUGUGUAAGCGCAGCGAUGCGUUGAGCUAACCGGUACUAAUGAACCGUGAGGCUUAACCUUACAACGCCGAAG